GUGAGGAAUUUUCCGCAAUGGGCGAAAGCCUGACGGAGCAAUGCCGCGUGAAGGAUGAAGGCCUAUGGGUUGUAAACUUCUUUUCUCAGAAAAGAAUUAUGACGGUAUCUGAGGAAUAAGCAUCGGCUAACUCUGUGCCAGCAGCCGCGGUAAGAUAGAGGAUGCAAGCGUUAUCCGGAAUGAUUGGGCGUAAAGCGUCUGUAGGUUGUUUAAAAAGUAUUCUGUCAAAGAUUAGGGCUUAACCCUAGAUAGGCAGAAUAAACUUUUAAGCUAGAGUUUGAUAGAGGCAGAGGGAAUUCCAGGUGGAGCGGUGCAAUGCGUAGAUAACGGGAGGAACCCCAAAGGCGAAGGCACUCUGCUGGGCCAAUACUAACACUGAGAGACGAAAGCGAGGGGAGCAAAUGGGAUUAGAUACCCUUAGUCC
rnacentral:rRNA from 1 species